rnacentral:rRNA from 1 species
AUUGAACGCUGGCGGCAUGCCUUACACAUGCAAGUCGAACGGCAGCACGGGUGCUUGCACCUGGUGGCGAGUGGCGAACGGGUGAGUAAUACAUCGGCACGUACCUUAUCGUGGGGGAUAACGCAGCGAAAGCUGUGCUAAUACCGCAUACGCCCUGAGGGGGAAAGCGGGGGAUCGCAAGACCUCGCGCGAUUAGAGCGGCCGAUGCCUGAUUAGCUUGUUGGUGGGGUAAAAGCCCACCAAGGCGACGAUCAGUAGCUGGUCUGAGAGGACGAUCAGCCACACUGGGACUGAGACACGGCCCAGACUCCUACGGGAGGCAGCAGUGGGGAAUUUUGGACAAUGGGGGCAACCCUGAUCCAGCAAUGCCGCGUGAGUGAAGAGGGCCUUCGGGUUGUAAAGCUCUUUUGUCAGGGAAGAAACACCGGCUCUAACACAGUCCGGGAAUGACGGUACCUGAAGAAUAAGCACCGGCUAACUACGUGCCAGCAGCCGCAGUAA